AACGAACGCUGGCGGCGUGCCUAACACAUGCAAGUCGAACGGAAAGGCCCUGCUUUUGUGGGGUGCGCGAGGGGCGAACGGGUGAGUAACACGUGAGUAACCUGCCCUUCACUUUGGGAUAACUUCAGGAAACUGGGCCUAAUACCGGAUAGGAGCUCCCGCUGCAUGGUGGGGGUGGGAUAGUUUCGCCGGUUGGGGAUGGACUCGCGGCUUAUCGGCUUGUUGGUGGGGUAGUGGCUUACCAAGGCCGGGACGGGUAGCCGGCCUGGGAGGGUGACCGGCCACCUUAGGACUGAGAUACGGCCCAGACUCCAACGGUAGGCAACGGUGGGGAGUCUUACACAAUGGGAGGAAGCGUGAUGCGGCAACGCCGCGUGCGGGAUGUCGGCCUUCGGGUUGUGAACCGCAUUCGCCUGUGACGCAGCGUGAGUGACGGUACUGGGUGAAGAAGCACCGGCUAACUACGUG
rnacentral:rRNA from 1 species